rnacentral:pre_miRNA from 1 species
AUGUUACUCCCUCCGUUCGGAAUUACUUGUCUCGGAAAUGGAUGUAUCUAGAACUAAAAUAUGUCUAGAUACAUCCAUUUCCGCGACAAGUAAUUCCGAACGGAGGGAGUAUGUG